rnacentral:rRNA from 1 species
AUUGAACGCUGGCGGCAUGCCUUACACAUGCAAGUCGAACGGCAGCACGGGAGCAAUCCUGGUGGCGAGUGGCGAACGGGUGAGUAAAGCAUCGGAACGUACCUGGUAGUGGGGGAUAGCCCGGCGAAAGCCGGAUUAAUACCGCAUACGACCUGAGGGCGAAAGCGGGGGAUCGCAAGACCUCGCGCUAUUGGAGCGGCCGAUGUCAGAUUAGCUAGUUGGUGGGGUAAAGGCCUACCAAGGCGACGAUCUGUAGCUGGUCUGAGAGGACGACCAGCCACACUGGGACUGAGACACGGCCCAGACUCCUACGGGAGGCAGCAGUGGGGAAUUUUGGACAAUGGGCGCAAGCCUGAUCCAGCCAUGCCGCGUGCGGGAAGAAGGCCUUCGGGUUGUAAACCGCUUUUGUCAGGGAAGAAAUCUUCUGGGUUAAUACCUCGGGAGGAUGAUGGUACCUGAAGAAUAAGCACCGGCUAACUACGUGCCAGCAGCCGCGGUAAUAC